UACGAAGGGGGCUAGCGUUACUCGGAUUGACUGGGCGUAAAGGGCGCGUAGGCGGUUUGUACAGUCAGACGUGAAAUUCCUGGGCUCAACCUGGGGGCUGCGUUUGAUACGUGCAGACUUGAGUUCGGAAGAGGGUCGUGGAAUUCCCAGUGUAGAGGUGAAAUUCGUAGAUAUUGGGAAGAACACCGGUGGCGAAGGCGGCGACCUGGGUCCAGACUGACACUGAGGUGCGAAAGCGUGGGGAGCAAACAGG
rnacentral:rRNA from 1 species